GUGAUGAGAGACGGCUUCUGACAUGUGAAGUAUCCUAAACCAGGCUGA
rnacentral:snoRNA from 2 species